rfam:Lactobacillus selangorensis strain DSM 13344 Scaffold1, whole genome shotgun sequence.
UCACAGCUGCAACCGCUCAACGCCGGUUUCAAACAGGUUCUGCCUGGCCGUCCUUGGCGAGUAUAAGAGGUAAA